UACGUAGGGGGCUAGCGUUGUCCGGAAUCAUUGGGCGUAAAGCGCGUGUAGGCGGUCCGGUAAGUCCGCUGUGAAAGUCGGGGGCUCAACCCUCGGAUGCCGGUGGAUACUGUCGGGCUUGAGUACGGAAGAGGCGAGUGGAAUUCCUGGUGUAGCGGUGAAAUGCGCAGAUAUCAGGAAGAACACCAGUGGCGAAGGCGGCUCACUGGUCCGGUACUGACGCUGAGGUGCGAAAGCGUGGGGAGCAAACAGG
rnacentral:rRNA from 1 species